AAAAAUUAGCGGAUGACUUGUGGCUGGGGGUGAAAGGCCAAUCAAACCGGGAGAUAGCUGGUUCUCCCCGAAAGCUAUUUAGGUAGCGCCUCGUGAAUUCAUCUCCGGGGGUAGAGCACUGUUUCGGCAAGGGGGUCAUCCCGACUUACCAACCCGAUGCAAACUGCGAAUACCGGAGAAUGUUAUCACGGGAGACACACGGCGGGUGCUAACGUCCGUCGUGAAGAGGGAAACAACCCAGACCGCCAGCUAAGGUCCCAAAGUCAUGGUUAAGUGGGAAACGAUGUGGGAAGGCCCAGACAGCCAGGAUGUUGGCUUAGAAGCAGCCAUCAUUUAAAGAAAGCGUAAUAGCUCACUGGUCGAGUCGGCCUGCGCGGAAGAUGUAACGGGGCUAAACCAUGCACCGAAGCUGCGGCAGCGACGCUUAUGCGUUGUUGGGUAGGGGAGCGUUCUGUAAGCCUGUGAAGGUGUGCUGUGAGGCAUGCUGGAGGUAUCAGAAGUGCGAAUGCUGACAUAAGUAACGAUAAAGCGGGUGAAAAGCCCGCUCGCCGGAAGACCAAGGGUUCCUGUCCAACGUUAAUCGGGGCAGGGUGAGUCGACCCCUAAGGCGAGGCCGAAAGGCGUAGUCGAUGGGAAACAGGUUAAUAUUCCUGUACUUGGUGUUACUGCGAAGGGGGGACGGAGAAGGCUAUGUUGGCCGGGCGACGGUUGUCCCGGUUUAAGCGUGUAGGCUGGUUUUCCAGGCAAAUCCGGAAAAUCAAGGCUGAGGCGUGAUGACGAGGCACUACGGUGCUGAAGCAACAAAUGCCCUGCUUCCAGGAAAAGCCUCUAAGCAUCAGGUAACAUCAAAUCGUACCCCAAACCGACACAGGUGGUCAGGUAGAGAAUACCAAGGCGCUUGAGAGAACUCGGGUGAAGGAACUAGGCAAAAUGGUGCCGUAACUUCGGGAGAAGGCACGCUGAUAUGUAGGUGAAGUCCCUCGCGGAUGGAGCUGAAAUCAGUCGAAGAUACCAGCUGGCUGCAACUGUUUAUUAAAAACACAGCACUGUGCAAACACGAAAGUGGACGUAUACGGUGUGACGCCUGCCCGGUGCCGGAAGGUUAAUUGAUGGGGUCAGCGCAAGCGAAGCUCUUGAUCGAAGCCCCGGUAAACGGCGGCCGUAACUAUAACGGUCCUAAGGUAGCGAAAUUCCUUGUCGGGUAAGUUCCGACCUGCACGAAUGGCGUAAUGAUGGCCAGGCUGUCUCCACCCGAGACUCAGUGAAAUUGAACUCGCUGUGAAGAUGCAGUGUACCCGCGGCAAGACGGAAAGACCCCGUGAACCUUUACUAUAGCUUGACACUGAACAUUGAGCCUUGAUG
rnacentral:rRNA from 1 species